rnacentral:rRNA from 1 species
UACGUAGGUGACAAGCGUUGUCCGGAUUUACUGGGUGUAAAGGGCGCGUAGGCGGGAUAGCAAGUCAGUCGUGAAAUGCCGAGGCUUAACCUCGGAGCUGCGAUUGAAACUGUUAUUCUUGAGUAUCGGAGAGGAAAGCGGAAUUCCUAGUGUAGCGGUGAAAUGCGUAGAUAUUAGGAGGAACACCAGUGGCGAAGGCGGCUUACUGGACGGCAACUGACGCUGAGGCUCGAAAGCGUGGGGAGCAAACAGG